rnacentral:rRNA from 1 species
AUUGAACGCUGGCGGCAUGCCUUACACACGCAAGUCGAACGGCAGCACGGGUGCUUGCCCCUGGUGGCGAGUGGCGAACGGGUGAGUAAUACAUCGGAACAUGUCCUGUAGUGGGGGAUAGCCCGGCGAAAGCCGGAUUAAUACCGCAUACGAUCUACGGAUGAAAGCGGGGGACCUUCGGGCCUCGCGCUAUCGGGUUGGCCGAUGGCUGAUUAGCUAGUUGGUGGGGUAAAGGCCUACCAAGGCGACGAUCAGUAGCUGGUCUGAGAGGACGACCAGCCACACUGGGACUGAGACACGGCCCAGACUCCUACGGGAGGCAGCAGUGGGGAAUUUUGGACAAUGGGCGAAAGCCUGAUCCAGCAAUGCCGCGUGUGUGAAGAAGGCCUUCGGGUUGUAAAGCACUUUUGUCCGGAAAGAAAUCCUUGGCCCUAAUACGGUCGGGGGAUGACGGUACCGGAAGAAUAAGCACCGGCUAACUACGUG